rnacentral:rRNA from 1 species
GNAGGAGGCAAGCGUNAUCCGGAANGACUGGGCGUAAAGGGUGCGUAGGUGGUCCAGCAAGNNGGCAGCGUAACNCCGGGGCUCAACCUCGGCACNACUGCCAAAACNGUCGAACUUGAGUGCAGGAGGGGCAAUCGGAAUNCCUAGUGUAGCGGUGGAAUGCGUAGAUAUUAGGAGGAACACCAGUGGCGAAGGCGGAUUGCUGGACUGUAACUGACACUGAGGCACGAAAGCGUGGGGAGCAAACAGGAUUAGAUACCCUGGUAGUCCACGCUGUAAACGAUGAAUACUAGGUGUAGGGGGUAUCGACUCCCUCUGUGCCGCCGCUAACGCAUUAAGUAUUCCGCCUGGGGACUACGGCCGCAAGGUUGAAACUCA